rnacentral:rRNA from 1 species
AUUGAACGCUGGCGGCAGGCUUAACACAUGCAAGUCGAGCGGAGAUGAGGUGCUUGCACCUUAUCUUAGCGGCGGACGGGUGAGUAAUGCUUAGGAAUCUGCCUAUUAGUGGGGGACAACAUUCCGAAAGGAAUGCUAAUACCGCAUACGUCCUACGGGAGAAAGCAGGGGAUCUUCGGACCUUGCGCUAAUAGAUGAGCCUAAGUCGGAUUAGCUAGUUGGUGGGGUAAAGGCCUACCAAGGCGACGAUCUGUAGCGGGUCUGAGAGGAUGAGCCGCCAAGCUGGGACUGAGACACGGCCCAGACUCCAACGGGAGGCAGCAGUGGGAAAUAUUGGACAAUGGGGGAAACCCUGAUCCAGCCAUGCCGCGUGUGUGAAGAAGGCCUUAUGGUUGUAAAGCACUUUAAGCGAGGAGGAGGCUACUGAGACUAAUACUCUUGGAUAGUGGACGUUACUCGCAGAAUAAGCACCGGCUAACUCUGUGCCAGCCGCCGCUGUAA